GGUGGCCUAGUGGUUAGAGCGUCCGUCUCGGAUGCGGGAGGUCAUGUGUUCGAUCCCCGAUACCA